UACGAAGGGGGCUAGCGUUGUUCGGAAUCACUGGGCGUAAAGCGCACGUAGGCGGAUUUUUAAGUCAGGGGUGAAAUCCCGAGGCUCAACCUCGGAACUGCCUUUGAUACUGGAGAUCUUGAGUCCGGAAGAGGUAAGUGGAACUGCGAGUGUAGAGGUGAAAUUCGUAGAUAUUCGGAAGAACACCAGUGGCGAAGGCGACUCACCGGCCCAUUACUGACGCUGAGGCGCGAAAGCGUGGGGAGCAAACAGG
rnacentral:rRNA from 1 species